UCGAUUUAAUGGGCAGGGAAAAGAUUCUUUUUAGAAUACCAGUAAGUUUUUUAAUGCCCUCGUGAAACCCUAACCACUGGGUGUUAUUAAUCUUGUAAGCCCUAUCAACGAGUGUCUUAAUGUGACCAUUUUAUAAGAGUACGAGGUGAGGCUGAAAUAAUUAGUUAGUAACCCGGUGAAAGUUUUCUUGCGGUAAACCCUUGUUGAGGAAUUGAGGUCAUGGUGUCAUAAGAUGAUUUCCUUCGUUUUCGUAUGCUGCUUACACAGUACCUUGAUCACCAUGCGACCCGCCUUUCUUUGAGUUGGUUAGUUGGAUUCCAAGUGCAGAAUCUCUCCUUACAAUAUCUAUACAAGUGAUGAGUGUUAAUGCUGUCGCAUUAGAUUAGUACAGCGGCAUUUAGUUUAAAUUUUGUUACCAGUCUUCGCUCGGACAAGUGACACAUGUUUUCACUGUUCGAGACAAGGUUGUACCUCGGCCAACCUAAACGAAUUUCAGUGCGUUAAAUUUGCUUAUUGUCAACGGUUUUACUCGUCCUAUAUAAUCGGAAAGACUAAACGGAAACGGAGGGCGAUGUAACAAGGAACCUAAGGAGUGAUUAAAGGCACCUCUGAAUGCUCAGCACCAUUAUGUUGCCUCAUUUGUGUGUGCAUACAUCACCAUGGUAACUAUGGGAGCAUUGGCAUUCAAGACUGCUGGAGGAAGCCUCUUCAACAUUUACAGACUCACUUCACGGCAGACACACCGUGACCACUAACAUGAAUCUAUACCUGACUAAUGUAAAACCUGUUUAUAAUACAACAGCCCACGUACAAUGUUAGCUUCAGUCACCAGGAAAAGUGUAAACUGUCGAAGAGACAACACAGUGUAAAGCUUAGAGAGCAUAUGCUUCUUGAAAUUACUCAUUAAAAGAUAUCCUCUACUGCUCA